UGGGGAAUUUUGCACAAUGGGGGAAACCCUGAUGCAGCGACGCCGCGUGAUUUAGAAGGCCUUCGGGUUGUAAAAAUCUUUUCUUUGGGAAGAAAAUGACAGUACCAUAGGAAUAAGGACCGGCUAAUUACGUGCCAGCAGCCGCGGUAAUACGUAAGGUCCGAGCGUUGUCCGGAAUCAUUGGGCGUAAAGGGUACGUAGGCGGGUAAGCAAGUUAGAAGUGAAAUCCUAUAGCUCAACUAUAGUAAGCUUUUAAAACUGCUCAUCUUGAGGUAUGGAAGGGAAAGUGGAAUUCCUAGUGUAGCGGUGAAAUGCGCAGAUAUUAGGAGGAAUACCGGUGGCGAAGGCGACUUUCUGGCCAUAACCUGACGCUGAGGUACGAAAGCGUGGGUAGCAAACAGG
rnacentral:rRNA from 2 species